GAUGAACGCUGGCGGCGUGCCUAAUACAUGCAAGUCGAGCGAACGGACGAGAAGCUUGCUUCUCUGAUGUUAGCGGCGGACGGGUGAGUAACACGUGGAUAACCUACCUAUAAGACUGGGAUAACUUCGGGAAACCGGAGCUAAUACCGGAUGAUAUUUUGAACCGCAUGGUUCAAAAGUGAAAGACGGUCUUGCUGUCACUUAUAGAUGGAUCCGCGCUGCAUUAGCUAGUUGGUAAGGUAACGGCUUACCAAGGCAACGAUGCAUAGCCGACCUGAGAGGGUGAUCGGCCACACUGGAACUGAGACACGGUCCAGACUCCUACGGGAGGCAGCAGUAGGGAAUCUUCCGCAAUGGGCGAAAGCCUGACGGAGCAACGCCGCGUGAGUGAUGAAGGUCUUCGGAUCGUAAAACUCUGUUAUUAGGGAAGAACAUAUGUGUAAGUAACUGUGCACAUCUUGACGGUACCUAAUCAGAAAGCCACGGCUAACUACGUGCCAGCAGCCGCGGUAAUACGUAGGUGGCAAGCGUUAUCCGGAAUUACUGGGCGUAAAGCGCGCGUAGGCGGUUUUUUAAGUCUGAUGUGAAAGCCCACGGCUCAACCGUGGAGGGUCAUUGGAAACUGGAAAACUUGAGUGCAGAAGAGGAAAGUGGAAUUCCAUGUGUAGCGGUGAAAUGCGCAGAGAUAUGGAGGAACACCAGUGGCGAAGGCGACUUUCUGGUCUGUAACUGACGCUGAUGUGCGAAAGCGUGGGGAUCAAACAGGAUUAGAUACCCUGGUAGUCCACGCCGUAAACGAUGAGUGCUAAGUGUUAGGGGGUUUCCGCCCCUUAGUGCUGCAGCUAACGCAUUAAGCACUCCGCCUGGGGAGUACGACCGCAAGGUUGAAACUCAAAGGAAUUGACGGGGACCCGCACAAGCGGUGGAGCAUGUGGUUUAAUUCGAAGCAACGCGAAGAACCUUACCAAAUCUUGACAUCCUUUGACAACUCUAGAGAUAGAGCCUUCCCCUUCGGGGGACAAAGUGACAGGUGGUGCAUGGUUGUCGUCAGCUCGUGUCGUGAGAUGUUGGGUUAAGUCCCGCAACGAGCGCAACCCUUAAGCUUAGUUGCCAUCAUUAAGUUGGGCACUCUAAGUUGACUGCCGGUGACAAACCGGAGGAAGGUGGGGAUGACGUCAAAUCAUCAUGCCCCUUAUGAUUUGGGCUACACACGUGCUACAAUGGACAAUACAAAGGGCAGCGAAACCGCGAGGUCAAGCAAAUCCCAUAAAGUUGUUCUCAGUUCGGAUUGUAGUCUGCAACUCGACUACAUGAAGCUGGAAUCGCUAGUAAUCGUAGAUCAGCAUGCUACGGUGAAUACGUUCCCGGGUCU
rnacentral:rRNA from 1 species